rnacentral:rRNA from 1 species
CAACUUUCAACAACGGAUCUCUUGGCUCUCGCAUCGAUGAAGAACGCAGCGAAAUGCGAUACGUAAUGUGAAUUGCAGAAUUCAGUGAAUCAUCGAAUCUUUGAACGCACCUUGCGCCCCUUGGUAUUCCGAGAGGCACACCCGUUUGAGUGUC